rnacentral:lncRNA from 1 species
AGGGGCUAUAGAGAAAUUCUCAUUGGAGAAAAAAAAGAAAAAUGAAAUGCUUACUUCAGUAACAGUAACAGGUGUUGCAGAUUAACUUGUAUAUUGUCCUGAACAAUGAUACUCUUUGUUUUUAUUUUGCUUUUUUCUCUUGCAGGUGAUAUUUUUGGGAAUGUCAUCACACCGGUCUACAGUGAAGUAUACAGAACAGAAAAGGACAUUACAUCUCUCUCCUGUAACUACUCCUCAGCGGCGAGACUAUAUUGGUAUCGUCAAUAUCCCCAAUCGGCUCCUGAAUUUCUUUUAGUCAUUCUACAUGCUACUGGAAAUGUUUUACAGAAGUCUGAAGUUGUGGAACUAGAUCCUCGAUUCUCUGGAAAACUGAAUAAAGAGAAAACCCGCACGUAUCUUGAAAUCUCCUCUGCUAAAGUGACAGACUCUGCUCUGUACUACUGUGCCCUGGAGCCCACAGUGACAGGAAAACAAACAACACUGUACAAAAACCUUUCCUACACAGAGGGUAAAAUAUACCACAUUCAACUGCAUCACAGUCAAUCUGCAGAAAUAUGGGAAAUAAAAUAAAUAAAUAAAAAUAAAAUGCAACCUAAUGUUUCUGAUUUACAGUCCCAAUUUUGUUUGGUUGCUUAGAUUUUGUGUAUGCGGAUGGGUUUUAAAGCUGAGACUGAUUGUGCUGAAAAGCAACCAUUCCACAAGACUACUAAAGCAACACAUACUGGGGUUAGGUAUUAACUGUAAAUAAAAGCUCCAUGAUUUGUAAGCUAUGUAUGUGUUACCUAACUCCAAAAUCCUAAUGUAACCUAAUUAAGAAAAAAAUAAGUGACAAUAAUAACAGCAACAAUAGAAUUCCUACAAUGAGAUUAGAUUGCCAUCUGGUGGGCUGGUAAUAUAGGAGCUGUUAAUGAUUAACUUUAAUGUUUUUUUUUUUCUUUGUUUAAAAACUAGCUUCUGAUUUCAAAGUAAUCAGAUUGAUUCCUAGCUAGUGAAUUUUGCUCUUUCAUGAGAUAAAAUGUUAUUUUAACUAAGAGGUUAAACGAUGUACCUUAUAUUGUUUUAGCUUGAGGUAUGGAGCAUUGAUUGAUCGAUCUAACUAAACA